AAGAAGGCCCGCUCUCUUUCCAUGUGCUUUUCCUUCGGCUCUUUCUCUACAGUCAUGGUUCAUUCCAGUCUGAGACGUCUCUUCUGGAAGUACAAUCGACACCAGAGCCUUACAAACAUGGGCUGGACCUGCUGCAUCAUUUGGUUUCUGUGGUUUUCAGUGAGCGAGUGCCGGCAGCUGUCCAACACUGAGCCUGUCAUGCACGGACAAAUCCAGUCUCCCCAAUAUCCUCGACCUUAUCCUCCUCACCUGCAAAAGCAAUGGGACCUCUGUAUCUGCUGGUUUCAGAUUUUCAUGGAACGUAAUGAUAUCAGAACAUUUCAGCGCUCUCUUCAGUAAGCAGCUCAGUCUAUUUUCACCCUGAGUACAACAACUCCAGCGGUA
ensembl:lncRNA